CGGUUUUAAGUAUUUAUUUCCAAAGAAAAGGAGAGCUCUUGUAUACAAGAAAUGUACUGGGAGAGAAAGCUUUAAACAAGAAGAUGGCUUUCCACAAAUUACAUCUAACAUGCACUUUGUACUCCAAAAUACACAAGAAAUAAAAGGUCCAACGAAUCUGGAAAACGACUAUUAUGUCCCUGCAAUAGCUCUGCGGGUUGACGUAAGUGCAUCAAGGGGUAACUUAUUUGGCAGAGUUCGAGUUCGACUUGUGACAGUCAAACCUUUUUAUUUCAUCACUAUCUUUCCAUAUUUGGCAAAAAUGCUUACAAUAUAAUCAUCACCUUCAAAAUAAAUUUUACUGUAAUUUUCCAUUAUUCAAGUUUCAACCGACAGUAAAAUAAAUUCAACAUUUGAUUGGCUUGACCUGAAAGCCAAAUUAUAUCACAUAAAAUAGCACAAAAGAAGUGUUAGUUCCGGACUGUAACAGUGUAACCCCCUUUUUUUUAAAUGGUGGUGUCCGGCUUAGAUUGAUAUUCCCACAAAUGCCUGCUAUCUCCAGUGUUAUCAAAGGCUGAAGCGAGGCGCAAAACACAUUGAGCGUUUCGCCUCACUUUGUGGGCGCUUUAGUGUUGCAUCAAAGCUCUAAGGCAUACUUUCCUUGCCAAUGAGUGUAAUCCUGAAAAGGCAACUUUAAACAAUUGAUAUUUUACUUUAUCGUGAAUUGUUUUUUCAAUUUCUUCGUCUAUAUAUUUGUUAUUCAUAUUUAUAAUGAUUAGUCUCGGAUUUCAUGCAUAUUUUUACUUUUUAUCCAGUUGCGCCUUUUUCAUUAAAGCCCAGACUUUAUUUGCGCGUUGCGCUUAAAGCCCAACGGACCUUAGAGCUUUUUUGCGCUUUUCGCCUUUGAUAAUAUUGGCUAAUUCCCACCAUCACAAACACAGGGUAACUCUACCAUCCAAGACUUAGCCAGAUGGGAAGACUCUCCAAUGUUUUCAUCUCAUUGACUGUUGGGUACCCUUGGGUGCAGAAGCAAACCCAACCUCAGUUCUGUUGCUUAAGAUAGACCAAAUUGCCAGAAUCAAAUAAAUAUACACACGUCUAUGUAUGUAUGUAUAAGUAGCUUUAGGAUAACAGGAUUGGUAAAUAUUUGGGUGCAUCUUUCUAACUUGAUAUAUCAGGAUUUUGAUCAUUCAUAUUCAAGGAUGGGUAGCAAGACUAAGGCUUUGUGUACUUCAAUUAUCAUAAAUAGAAUAUAUUAUCAGUUUGGAUUCUCAAAGCGCCAGGAAAGGUGUGUGGCGGCUAGAGGAAUGAUUUUGACUACCAAAAACUCAAAGAAGAGGGGGAUCUCCUAUGUUAGUAGGUGUGUCAUGUGCAAAAAUUUGGGAGAAGAUGUGGAUCACCUUCUAUUGCAUUUCCGGAAAGCAUCAUGACUAUGGUAGGAGAUUCUGAGAUGGUCUGGGUUAUUAUGGACCAUGUCGGUCAGCUUUAAGGUGGAUAGUGUGGAUAGAGAGAAAUAGGAAAUCUUUUAAAGGAAUUGAGCAUGAUUUUGAACAUUUGAAGAAUAGUCGUUUAUCAUUAAUAUCUUUUUAGUGCACCAGUGAUGUUCCUAUAUGUAUUGAUGGAUGAGUGUCUUUUGUAGAGAUCCAUUUAUUUUUAUAGGUUCUCCAUCUUUUGUAUAUUUCUUGUGUAUGGGAGUUUUCCCCAGUAUUAAUAGAAUUACUCCUUACUUGAUCAAAAGAAAAGAAGGAAUAAAAUAUCAAUCUUUGCUUGACACUAAGCUAAAAUGACUUAUAUUUUCUAUCUUUAAAGAAAUGACUUGUAUGUUCCAAAGGAAUUCAAAUUAACAAGGAAAUAAAUGUUCAACUCACUAAAACCAUAGCAGGUUGUUCUAAGAAAUUGUGAAAAACAUCACCUCUAUCAUCUAUAUACUUCCUUUUCGAAAUAGUACUUUAUUAGCAUUUCUAUACUUGAUUUAAAGGGAGGAAUGACCUUAAGCUCAAGGUCAGAGUGCUUUCUUCCUAUAAUUAAGUAGGGGUUUCAUUGAUAAGCUCAAGAUCAAUAGAUCAGAGACUUGGUGAAGAACAAUUAUGAACCUAACUAAAACCUUAAUCACUCUUAAGCUUUUAAAUGAUGAACGUUUCCAGUCAAAUAUUGAACUAAUAAAAGGUUAUAACGUGUAGAAAGGAACAAUGAUGAACGUGCAAUACGGAUGAGAACAUAGAACACUUCCCGGAAAAGGGAAGCAACAACUUGCCAAAGAAUCUAUUUUCUAUUCAGUGAAAACUUGAGCUAAGUCUUCUAUCCAACCUGCAUUCAGUGUCUUUUAGCUCUUUAUUUCUUUCUUUCUUUUUCUGUGGUAUACAUAAUAUACCAAGUGAUAACUGGAGUCUACAGGCUCACAAUUGAUAGUUAACAUACAACAACAGUAAGAGCUAAAUUGGCAAGAAUAAACAGCAUAAUCCAUAAAAUAGUUUCUCCAGCGCCCAACUUUCCAAACAAGCAAUCAACGUAAUAACAGCUGAUCCAAAAUCACCUACUCGAUUGAAAAUAGUAGCUUUUGUAGCUAAUUUACAAAAUCUUAACUAAUAAACAGAAAUCCCAACUUUAAAGGGAUUUUAAAUUAAAAAAAUUGUUUUCUGAGCUUAAUUCAAAACCCUAGACCCAUUUUCUAGUGCGAUCCAAACUAGGUGAUCCGUCAAUACAGAUUUAGAUAAGGAAGACGAGACUUACAAAGAGAGCUGUGGAGAGAGAGAACGUAGCGAUCCUAACGAAGAGAAUUGAAUUUGAUGAGAAACGGCACCGUUUUAUGUCAACGGAAAUGGUGAAGAAGUCACAGCGCGUCUACCGCCACCGAGAAAACUGAAAUUGCCCGAAUUGCAAAACUGGUCCUUUUUCUUACCCGGAGUACAAUGGCCUCAUUUGUUUGCACUUAAUGUGUUUGUUUUUUUACUUCACAACCACUUAAUCGAUUUGAAUAAAUUUGUAUAAUUAAG
rnacentral:lncRNA from 1 species